GAAUAUUGGACAAUGGGCGAAAGCCUGAUCCAGCCAUGCCGCGUGUGUGAAGAAGGUCUUCGGAUUGUAAAGCACUUUAAGUUGGGAGGAAGGGCAGUAAGCGAAUACCUUGCUGUUUUGACGUUACCGACAGAAUAAGCACCGGCUAACUCUGUGCCAGCAGCCGCGGUAAUACAGAGGGUGCAAGCGUUAAUCGGAAUUACUGGGCGUAAAGCGUGCGCAGGCGGUUUUGUAAGACAGAGGUGAAAUCCCCGGGCUCAACCUGGGAACUGCUUUCAAAACUGGCAAGCUAGAGUAUGGCAGAGGGUGGUGGAAUUUCCUGUGUAGCGGUGAAAUGCGUAGAUAUAGGAAGGAACACCAGUGGCGAAGGCGACCACCUGGGCUCAUACUGACACUGAGGUGCGAAAGCGUGGGGAGCAAACAGG
rnacentral:rRNA from 1 species